rnacentral:lncRNA from 1 species
GCAAAUAGCACCUUUCCUGAGCCAGUUUCCAUCCCCCAGCUUUGAUGGUGCUCCCAGAAAAUUCCUUCCCACCACCAUUCGUCAGUUUUUUUAAUUAUGGCUGUGUCUUUGCCCUUCUCUUUGCAACGAGCCUGAGGCAGCCAGUUGAUGAUACCCCUGUGGUCUUCUUGACUUGCCACCUUCAACAAUUCUGCUAGCUCUGUUUUUUUUUUUUAAUAUAUAUAACAGAUUGCAUAAUAGAAAGCCCACCCCCUCCUUCAGGACAGCCGUAGCUCUGUAGCCUGAAGCAAGCAGCAGAGGACACGCCACCAGACUUGAGAAAAUUGCCUCCGCUUUAUCGCUUCUAGGAGGAGUAGGAGGAAGAGUCCUCCCACUGUUGUUAUGGUGGAGAAAGCCACUUCCCUGUGUACAGCUGAGCAGGGAAGCAAACACAUUUCAUGAACGGAGGAGAAGAAGGAAAAGGGGCAUUGGCAUCUACUCUAAGUAAAUAUGCCCUAGCUGGGAAGGUAAGGCCACGUGACGGACGCCAGCGCUGAAGGAGGAGCACAGCUUGCUGCUUCAUGUAUAAAAGCGACGCCUGCACAUGAAGCUCCAAAACCGCUUGGCUAGUGUGAACCAAGAAUUGAAUGCAGCAUAAGCGGCCACUGCCACCAUGAAGUUGACAGUUGUCUUUCUGCUGGUUGUCCUUGCGUCCUACAGCUACUCUCCAUCUGCUGCUUGUGACAGUCUGCAAGUCUUUGCGGACAAAGCUCUCUAUUCCACUCAAGACGAUUACAUGAAUUACAUUUCCAACUACCUGCUUGUUACCCCUCCAGUAAAAUUAGCUGCCCUUCAACUCAAGUCAUGCGCAGAAGGUCUCUCAGCAGACAUGAAGCAGGCAAAAGAAGCCGUGCUGGCAAAUCUAAUAGGAUACUGUGGUAGUCUAAUAUAGUUCCAGGACCUUUCUCUGUGAUGACUCCAGAUGCUGACUGAUCCUGAAUGAUCCAUUUUCACUUCCUUCUCCUUUUUUCGGCCAAGAACUUUCACCCUCUUCCUGAAUAGACAACUGUGUUAUCUAGAAUCUGCAACCCUGUUUUCAA